AAGGUAGUAAGUUUGUAACCCUCAUUAUGAUCAUCAAAGUGCCUUGCCCAUAGCAAGAAAUCCCAUGUUCCAUGAAAAAACAGAAGGUGGCUCGCAUUCUGUCCAGAAAACCUAAGUCGUGUCUAACAAUAGAUCGUCCAACGUGAUAACGAGCAACAUGGGCAGGACAUUCGAGCUUCAUCAUAUAACAUGGGCAGGACAUUCGAGCUUCAUCAUAUAACCUACUACCACUGUUAAAUCCUAGUUUCCUAGGCUUUAUUACUUCUUCGGUUUAGUAACAUAGAUAUAAUUUCAGAAGUCUAAUGUCUGGAUUGUUUAGUUAGUUACGGAGUACAUUUGUGUACUAUGGAAUUUGGUUAAUUAGUAACAUUAUCGUGUGUGAUGGAUUUUUACUAUGUACUUUUAGAUUUUAUAAGUUAAUUUUAAUGAUA